UAGGGAAUCUUCGGCAAUGGACGAAAGUCUGACCGAGCAACGCCGCGUGAGUGAAGAAGGUUUUCGGAUCGUAAAACUCUGUUGUUAGAGAAGAACAAGGACGUUAGUAACUGAACGUCCCCUGACGGUAUCUAACCAGAAAGCCACGGCUAACUACGUGCCAGCAGCCGCGGUAAUACGUAGGUGGCAAGCGUUGUCCGGAUUUAUUGGGCGUAAAGCGAGCGCAGGCGGUUUCUUAAGUCUGAUGUGAAAGCCCCCGGCUCAACCGGGGAGGGUCAUUGGAAACUGGGAGACUUGAGUGCAGAAGAGGAGAGUGGGAUUCCAUGUGUAGCGGUGAAAUGCGUAGAUAUAUGGAGGAACACCAGUGGCGAAGGCGGCUCUCUGGUCUGUAACUGACGCUGAGGCUCGAAAGCGUGGGGAGCAAACAGG
rnacentral:rRNA from 2 species